UACGUAGGGGGCUAGCGUUGUCCGGAAUCAUUGGGCGUAAAGAGCGUGUAGGCGGUCCGGUAAGUCCGCUGUGAAAGUCGGGGGCUCAACCCUCGAAUGCCGGUGGAUACUGUCGGGCUAGAGUGCGGAAGAGGCGAGUGGAAUUCCUGGUGUAGCGGUGAAAUGCGCAGAUAUCAGGAGGAACACCUAUUGCGAAGGCAGCUCGCUGGGACGUAACUGACGCUGAGACGCGAAAGCGUGGGGAGCAA
rnacentral:rRNA from 1 species